rnacentral:rRNA from 1 species
UACGUAGGGGGCAAGCGUUGUCCGGAAUCAUUGGGCGUAAAGCGCGUGUAGGCGGUCUGUCGCGUCUGCUGUGAAAUCCCGAGGCUCAACCUCGGGCUUGCAGUGGGUACGGGCAGGCUAGAGUGCGGUAGGGGAGAAUGGAACUCCUGGUGUAGCGGUGGAAUGCGCAGAUAUCAGGAAGAACACCGAUGGCGAAGGCAGUUCUCUGGGCCGUAACUGACGCUGAGGAGCGAAAGCGUGGGGAGCGAACAGG